UACGUAGGGUGCAAGCGUUGUCCGGAAUUAUUGGGCGUAAAGAGCUCGUAGGUGGUUUGUUGCGUCGGCUGUGAAAUCCCGAGGCUCAACCUCGGGUCUGCAGUCGAUACGAGCAAACUAGAGUGUUGCAGGGGAGACUGGAAUUCCUGGUGUAGCGGUGAAAUGCGCAGAUAUCAGGAGGAACACCGGUGGCGAAGGCGGGUCUCUGGGACGGUACUGACGCUGAGACGCGAAAGCGUGGGGAGCGAACAGG
rnacentral:rRNA from 1 species